rnacentral:rRNA from 1 species
GACGAACGCUGGCGGCGUGCUUAACACAUGCAAGUCGAACGGAAAGGCCCGGCUUUUGUGGGGUGCACGUUUGGCGAACGGGUGAGUAUCACGCGUGUAACCUCCCCUUGACUGUCGGAUAACAUUACGAAACUGGGGCUAAUACCGGAUAGGAGCUCCUGCUGCAUUGGGGGGGUUGGAAAGUUUCGGCGGUUGGGGAUGGACUCGUGGCUUAUCAGCUUGUUGGUGGGGUAGUGGCUUACCAAGGUUUUGACGGGUAGCCGGCAUGGGAGGGUGACCGGCGACAUUGGGACUGCGAUACGGCGCAGACUCCUACGGGAGGCAGCAGUGGAGAAUAUUGCACAAUGGGCGGAAGCCUGAUGCAGCAACGCCGCGUGCGGGAUAACGGCCUUCGGGUUGUAAACCGCUUUCGACUGUGACGAAGCGUGAGUGACGGUAAUGGGUAAGGAAGCACCGGCUAACUACGUG